GGGGUUGUGGCUCAGUGAUAGAGCUCUCACCUAGCAUGUGAGAGGCGCUGGGUUUGAUCCUCAGCACCCCA
rnacentral:tRNA from 1 species